AUGAUCAGUGUUGGAUGUAGUCUGAUUACAAAGUAAUACGUUGUUGUAAUCUAAUUACUUUUAGUAAAACAAAUAGGCUGAACAUUACAUUUUAAUAUCUUGUACUUAGAUUACAUUUACUGACUUUCAAUUACAAGGAUAGUUCACCCAACAUAAGACUCCAGUGGUUGAAGUAUAUCUUCAGAAGCGAUAUGAUGGGUGUGGAUGAAAGAAAGUCAAACACAUCUGGGAUGAUACGAGGCGUGCUGUAUCUGGGGGCCUGAACUGCCGGUGGGGCCACAAUGCGGAAUGAUCGGAGCCAAUGCUGUAACCCUGUCUGCUGUCGGAGAUCAUUGCCCCUGUGACUGAUGUGUGGGGCAUCCCUGAGUGAGUGCCGGGUGGGUGCCUCUUUCCCAUGAGGAGAACAGCCAUGGCCCUUCACAUGCUGUUAGUGUGCUCAUUGCUUAUGUGUAAAAUUGGGGCCUGUUAGUGCACACACACCUUGGCUCAUUCUCCAUCCUUAUUUCUGGUAUCAUCCAUCUUUUGUGCCUGGCUAAGGCAGUUGGAUGCUGUGCUUGAAUUAAUCAAAGAAUAUAUACAGAAUAUUGUAUUCAAUAUUUUGUCACUUAAUAAAACAUAAUAGCUUUAAAAAAAAAAUCAAAAUUGGAGUUUUGUGGCAUUUAAUCCAUGUUUAUUGUGUUGAUGCCAUCUGUAUGCUGCUGCACUCCUUACAGUCUUUCUCUUUGGUAAAAAAAUGGACCAAAAAUAAUUAUGACUCAUCUUGCAUUUAUGUAGCCUAUUGGCUAUCUUAAAAAAGAGAUAUGUCCCACUGAAGUUCUGGUUUCAAUAGGAAAUAUGUGAACACAGCACUACGCAGACGGGGAGUAUAGUGAGCACCAGUUCCAGGCAGUUUCGGUCAAUAAUACAUUGAAGAUGAAUAAUACCAAGAAAUUGACCAUGUAUUCAGAUGGUCCCUUACCACAUCCUUCAAAGUUUUGGCCAUAAAUGCUUUUUGAGUUAUUAAUAAUAAAAAAGUGUAGCCUAAAUCCUUUCUUUUAUGCUGAGAACUUUCCUGACCCAUGACUUAUAUAAUAUAUAUAUAUAUAUAUAUAUAUAUAUAUAUAUAUAUAUAUAUAUAUAUAUACACUCAUCUUAUUUAUGUAUACAUCUGUGUUGGUUUAUAUGUUUGUUUUACAUAUUAUACUUUUAUUUAUUUUUC